rnacentral:rRNA from 1 species
GACGAACGCUGGCGGCGUGCUUAACACAUGCAAGUCGAACGGAAAGGCCUCUUUCGGGGGGUACUCGAGUGGCGAACGGGUGAGUAACACGUGAGUAACCUGCCCUUGACUUUGGGAUAACUUCAGGAAACUGGGGCUAAUACCGGAUAGGAGCUCCUGCUGCAUGGUGGGGGUUGGAAAGUUUCGGCGGUUGGGGAUGGACUCGCGGCUUAUCAGCUUGUUGGUGGGGUAGUGGCUUACCAAGGCUUUGACGGGUAGCCGGCCUGAGAGGGUGACCGGCCACAGUGGGACUGAGAGACGGCCCAGACUCCUACGGGAGGCAGCAGUGGGGAAGAUUGCACAAUGGGUGGAAGCCUGAUGCAGCAACGCCGUGUGCGGGAUGACGGCCUUCGGGUUGGAAACCGCUUUCGCUCAUGACGAAGCUUUGUGUGACGGUAGUGGGUAAAGAAGCACCGGCUAACUACGUG